GACGAACGCUGGCGGCGUGCUUAACACAUGCAAGUCGAACGGAAAGGCCCUGCUUUUGUGGGGUGCUCGAGUGGCGAACGGGUGAGUAACACGUGAGUAACCUGCCCUUGACUUUGGGAUAACUUCAGGAAACUGGGGCUAAUACCGGAUAGGAGCUCCUGCUGCAUGGUGGGGGUUGGAAAGUUUCGGCGGUUGGGGAUGGACUCGCGGCUUAUCAGCUUGUUGGUGGGGUAGUGGCUUACCAAGGCUUUGACGGGUCGCCGGCCUGAGAGGGUGACCGGCCACAUUGGGACUGAGAUACGGCCCAGACUCCUACGGGAGGCAGCAGUGGGGAGUAUUGCACAAUGGGCGGAAGCCUGAUGCAGCAACGCCGCGUGCGGGAUGACGGCCUUCGGGUUGUAAACCGCUUUCGCCUGUGACGAAGCGUGAGUGACGGUAAUGGGUAAAGAAGCACCGGCUAACUACGUG
rnacentral:rRNA from 1 species